rnacentral:rRNA from 1 species
GCCAGCAGCUAUAUCACCUUUCAGCUCUCAACUGGUUACCCGCUAAAGCUAAACAGGGUUGAACCUGGUCAGUAUCUGGAUGGGAGACCUCCUGGGAAGCUAUGGUUGCUGCUGGAA